rnacentral:rRNA from 1 species
UACGUAGGGCGCAAGCGUUGUCCGGAAUUAUUGGGCGUAAAGAGCUCGUAGGCGGUUUGUCGCGUCUGUCGUGAAAGCUUGGGGCUUAACCCCAAGUCUGCGGUGGAUACGGGCAGACUAGAGGCAGGUAGGGGAGAACGGAAUUCCCGGUGUAGCGGUGAAAUGCGCAGAUAUCGGGAGGAACACCGGUGGCGAAGGCGGCCUACUGGGCCGGACCUGACGCUGAGACGCGAAGGCGUGGGGAGCGAACGGG